rnacentral:rRNA from 1 species
UGAGGAAUAUUGGUCAAUGGACGCAAGUCUGAACCAGCCAAGUAGCGUGCAGGAUGACGGCCCUAUGGGUUGUAAACUGCUUUUAUAUGGGGAUAAAGUGGGGAACGUGUUCCCUUUUGCAGGUACCAUAUGAAUAAGGACCGGUUAAUUCCGUGCCAGCAGCCGCGGUAAUACGGAAGGUUCGGGCGUUAUCCGGAUUUAUUGGGUUUAAAGGGAGCGUAGGCCGUUUGGUAAGCGUGUUGUGAAAUGUAGGAGCUCAACUUCUAGAUUGCAGCGCGAACUGUCAGACUUGAGUGCGCACAACGUAGGCGGAAUUCAUGGUGUAGCGGUGAAAUGCUUAGAUAUCAUGAAGAACUCCGAUUGCGAAGGCAGCUUACGGGAGCGCAACUGACGCUGAAGCUCGAAGGUGCGGGUAUCGAACAGG